GACGAACGCUGGCGGCGUGCUUAACACAUGCAAGUCGAACGGAAAGGCCCUGCUUUUGUGGGGUGCUCGAGUGGCGAACGGGUGAGUAACACGUGAGUAACCUGCCCUUGACUUUGGGAUAACUUCAGGAAACUGGGGCUAAUACCGGAUAGGAGCUCCUGCUGCAUGGUGGGGGUUGGAAAGUUUCGGCGGUUGGGGAUGGACUCGCGGCUUAUCAGCUUGUUGGUGGGGUAGUGGCUUACCAAGGCUUUGACGGGUAGCCGGCCUGAGAGGGUGACCGGCCACAUUGGGACUGAGAUACGGCCCAGACUCCUACGGGAGGCAGCAGUGGGGAAUAUUGCACAAUGGGCGGAAGCCUGAUGCAGCAACGCCGCGUGCGGGAUGACGGCCUUCGGGUUGUAAACCGCUUUCGCCUGUGACGAAGCGUGAGUGACGGUAAUGGGUAAAGAAGCACCGGCUAACUACGUGCCAGCAGCCGCGGUGAUACGUAGGGUGCGAGCGUUGUCCGGAUUUAUUGGGCGUAAAGGGCUCGUAGGUGGUUGAUCGCGUCGGAAGUGUAAUCUUGGGGCUUAACCCUGAGCGUGCUUUCUAUACGGGUUGACUUGAGGAAGGUAGGGGGAGAAUGGAAUUCCUGGUGGAGCGGUGGAAUGCCCACAUAUCAGGAGGAACACCAGUGGCGAAGGCGGUUCUCUGGGCCUUUCCUGACGCUGAGGAGCGAAAGCGUGGGGAGCGAACAGGCUUAGAUACCCUGGUAGUCCACGCUGUAAACGGUGGGUACUAGGUGUGGGGUCCAUUCCACGGGUUCCGCGCCGUAGCUAACGCUUUAAGUACCCCGCCUGGGGAGUACGGCCGCAAGGCUAAAACUCAAAGGAAUUGACGGGGCCCCGCACAAGCGGCGGAGCAUGCGGAUUAAUUCGAUGCAACGCGUAGAACCUUACCUGGGUUUGACAUGGAUCGGGAGUGCUCAGAGAUGGGUGUGCCUCUUUUGGGGUCGGUUCACAGGUGGUGCAUGGCUGUCGUCAGCUCGUGUCGUGAGAUGUUGGGUUAAGUCCCGCAACGAGCGCAACCCUUGUUCACUGUUGCCAGCACGUUAUGGUGGGGACUCAGUGGAGACCGCCGGGGUCAACUCGGAGGAAGGUGGGGAUGACGUCAAGUCAUCAUGCCCCUUAUGUCCAGGGCUUCACGCAUGCUACAAUGGCUGGUACAGAGAGUGGCGAGCCUGUGAGGGUGAGCGAAUCUCGGAAAGCCGGUCUCAGUUCGGAUUGGGGUCUGCAACUCGACCUCAUGAAGUCGGAGUCGCUAGUAAUCGCAGAUCAGCAACGCUGCGGUGAAUACGUUCCCGGG
rnacentral:rRNA from 1 species